rnacentral:lncRNA from 1 species
GAUAAAGAGAGCGUUGGAGGCAUUCAAUAGAUAAAUUAGAUAUCUUUUCAAUUAUUCCCUUUAUUUUAUAGGGUCACGUGCCUGAUUAACAACUUUUUACUUCUGUUAUCAAGCCGGCGGAUUCUCAAUGCUCGCUCCGUGUCUUUUAAUUCUGUGGAUGUAAUGAAAGGCAUUGAGGGCUUUGUGCUCUGUGAUCGUUUUGUGCAGUGACAAUCUCACUCUUCUCGGGAGUCCACGAGUGCUGCAUUCCCUUUUAUCCUCCAGGAUUCCAAAAAAUAAUCCCUUCCUUUUUGCUGGAACGCUCCCUGAGAUGUGAGCUCAGCCCCAUCUGGAUGUGUUUCUCACAUCUCACAUCUCCGUGGAUGUUGUGGAUGGUUGGAGGCAGAGCUCUGGGAUGCAGAUUGCCCCGUGUCAGCGUCUUUCUGGAGCUGAAGGAGUGGAUGGGUGGAGAAGGUGGUGGUUUCAGAGACCCUGGGCUGCCCCUACCCCAAUUCCCUCCCAUUGCAGACGUCGAUCCGUGCAGGCAAAUGGAAACACGGCGCUGACGAGCGGCUCCCCUGCAGAGCAGUUCUUCAUCCCAACCUGCAACGAACACAAAGAGCAAUUCAGGUGGAGUUACCCCGAGGAGAUUUAUGACGUCCAGGGAGGCACACGCCAUUCGAUACCGAAGCAUGAAUCAAAGCAGGACAGCAGGGAUGUAUUUACAUCUGCGCCGCGCGCGCACGGAUAUCGCAAGGAGAACACAAAGUCAGCUGGCAAUGGAUGGGGGCUCUGGGAGGGUGGUGGGGGGCACUUCUGAGCUUCGUGGGUGUAAAAGGGAACGGAAGGGAUGAUGGUAAUUGUUGUGGUUGAGCUGCGUGGCUUCCCAAGUCUGAGCCAAGGGAUGUACGUGUGAGGAUGUGGCUGGGAUUUCGUGGCUGGGGGCAUCGGGGAGGAAAGUCCUUGGUUUUCAUGGUUGGGAAUGAAUUUGAGAGGAAAGCCCUUGGGUUUCAUGGCUGGGGAUGUAUUUGAGAGCAAAGCCCUUGGGUUGAAUGGUUGGGGAUGAGUUUGAGAGGAAAGCCCUUGGGUUUCAUGGUUGGGGAUGAAUAUAAGAGGAAAGUCCUUGGAUUUCAUGGUUGGGGAUGAGUUUGAGAGCAAAACCCUUGGGUUUCAUGGCUGGGGAUGAAUUUGAGAGGAAAGCCCUUGGGUUUCAUGGCUGGGAAUGAAUUUGAGAGCAAAGCCCUUGGGUUUCAUGGCUGGGGAUGAGUUUGAGAAGAAAGCCCUUGGGUUUCAUGGCUGGGGAUGAAUUUGAGAGGAAAGCCCUUGGGUUUCAUGGCUGGGGAUGAAUUUGAGAUGAAAGCCUUUGGGUUUCAUGGCUGGGGAUGAAUUUGAGAGCAAAGCCUUUGGGUUUCAUGGCUGGGGAUGAAUUUGAGAGGAAAUCCCUUGGGUUUCAUGGCUGGGGAUGAAUUUGAGAGGAAAGCCCUUGGGUUUCAUGGCUGGGGAUGAAUUUGAGAGCAAAGCCCUCGGGUUUCAUGGCUGGGGAUGAAUUUGAGAGGAAAUCCCUUGGGUUUCAUGGUUGGGGACAUGUUUUAGAAGAAAACCCUUGGAUUUAACAGUGACUGUGGAUGCAGAAGCCUCCGUGUGUCCUCACAUUGGUUGGGUUUCACGUGCUCUCUGGUCCAACUCUUAUCCUACAUUUCAACCCAUGCAAAACCCAGCGGUGUCACCACUUGGUGCAACACCAACCCUGCUAACUUGGUGAUGAUUUUGGGCCCCUUUUGCCAGGAAAUGGUUCCCUCCACGUGAAAACACCCAACCCA